rnacentral:rRNA from 1 species
AACGAACGCUGGCGGCAUGCCUAACACAUGCAAGUCGAACGAGACCUUCGGGUCUAGUGGCGCACGGGUGCGUAACGCGUGGGAACCUGCCCUUAGGUUCGGAAUAACUCCCCGAAAGGGGUGCUAAUACCGGAUAAUGUCUUCGAACCAAAGAUUUAUCGCCUUUGGAUGGGCCCGCGUUGGAUUAGCUAGUUGGUAGGGUAAAAGCCUACCAAGGCGACGAUCUAUAGCUGGUCUGAGAGGAUGAUCAGCCACACUGGGACUGAGACACGGCCCAGACUCCUACGGGAGGCAGCAGUGGGGAAUAUUGGACAAUGGGCGAAAGCCUGAUCCAGCAAUGCCGCGUGAGUGAUGAAGGCCUUAGGGUUGUAAAGCUCUUUUACCCGGGAUGAUAAUGACAGUACCGGGAGAAUAAGCUCCGGCUAACUCCGUG